GUAGGACUACCCGCUGAACUUAAGCAUAUCAAUAAGCGGAGGAAAAGAAACUAACAAGGAUUCCCCUAGUAACUGCGAGUGAAGCGGGAAAAGCUCAAAUUUAGAAUCUGGCAGCCUACGGUUGUCCGAGUUGUAGCCUAGAGAAGCGUUUUCUGCGUUGGACCAUGUACAAGUCCCUUGGAACAGGGCGUCGUAGAGGGUGAGAAUCCCGUACUUGACAUGGACUCCCAGGGCUAUGUGAUGCGCUCUCGAAGAGUCGGGUUGUUUGGGAAUGCAGCUCUAAAUGGGUGGUAAAUUCCAUCUAAAGCUAAAUAUUGGCGAGAGACCGAUAGCGAACAAGUACCGUGAGGGAAAGAUGAAAAGCACUUUGGAAAGAGAGUUAAACAGUACGUGAGAUUGUUGAAAGGGAAACGCUUGAAGUCAGUCGCGUCGGCCGGGACUCAGCCUUGAACGGUGCACUUCCCGGUGGACGGGCCAGCAUCAGUUUUGAUCGUCGGAAAAGGGUUUGAGGAAUGUGGCACCUUCGGGUGUGUUAUAGCCUCUUGCCGCACGCGACGGUUGGGACUGAGGAUCGCAGCUUCGGCUUAGGAUGCUGGCGUAAUGGCUUUAAACGACCCGUCUUGAAACACGGACCA
rnacentral:rRNA from 1 species